AUGGCGAUGGAGAUGAGAGCCCGGGAAUCUGUAGGCAUGUCGGAGGACCUGACACGGGCAAUCGCACCUUAUGCCACAGCCCUGCACGACGCUUUCCUCCACUCCCAUUGCUCCUCGUGUUUCAGGAAGUUGCCAUCGCAACCUCCAUGUGCCAUGUCUUGUAUGCUCUGCUGCUCCGUUCAGUACUGCUGCUCAGACUGCUUAAGCUCGGACUGUGAAGUGCAUUCUUCUUCUGGUGAAUGUUGUUUCUUCGCCGAUCACCUCAAGAAAGCAUCUUCAUCCUACGUCACUGAGGGCACGAGCGAUGUCCGUGCUUCUCUUCGACUUCUUUAUUUUCUCGAGAUGCAUGGUCUUGUCUCGUCAGAUUCAAUCAACCGGUCCAGCAGAAUUGGUGGGCUUUCAACAAUUGGUAUUCGGGAAGUUCUGGAGGAAGGUGGGGAGGUUGCCGAGAGGAUACUGAAGGGAAGCAUGCUGAUGUCGUCUGCCAGAAAAAUGAGGACGCAAACAUCUGUUGUUUUCUCCAAUGGCCUGACAGUAGAGAUAGUGGCAUUAUGGGCAGUGAUGAUCAACAGCGUUGAGGUGCAGAUUAGUGACGAGUGGGAUCUGGGGAUUGCAGUUUAUGGACCUAGUUUCUCAUGGUUCAAUCAUAGUUGCUUUCCGAAUGCUUCUUAUAGUUUUGUGUUGGCUCCACCCAAUGAAGAUUAUGUUUCAGACAAAUCAGAAUACCGUGCAGUCCCUGCUAGCAAAGGGGUUGCUCCAGAUGCGUGGCAUGCUUGGCAAUUUGAAGAGGGUUCUACUCAUGCACUUGGCAAAUAUGGCCCAAGAGUUGUUGUCCGUUGCAUAAAGCCAAUCAACAAGGGGGAUGAAGUUUGCAUAACAUACAUUGAUCUUCUCCAGACCAGGGAAGCAAGGCAUUCAGAUCUUUGGUCAAAGUAUAAGUUUAUUUGUUCUUGUGAGCGCUGUACUGCAUCACCAGAAUCAUAUGUGGAUUUUAUUCUAAACUGUGACUUCAGGAACUUGAAUUCACCAGAGAAUGCUUUUAUAUCUCUAGCAAUUGAGGAUUUUGAUGAUAUCUUACAACAAGCAAUAUCGGAAUAUUCAUUGGGUGAUGAUCCCAAAGCCUGCUGUGCUAUGAUUGAAAGUUUGCUUUCUGAAAACUUGAUGGGUGAUCUGCAGCAAGUGGAACUUUCACAGAAAAGACAUAUACUACAUCCUCUUCAUCAUAUAUGUCUAAGAGCUUAUAUGACGCUUGCCUCUGCUUACCGCUUUCGUGCCCUAGAAUCCAGUACUGAUGGCUUUAAGGGAGAAAACAGUGCCGUUUCUUUCAAAAUGACCAAAGCUGCAGUAGCUUAUUCAUUUCUUCUUGCAGGAGCUACGCACCAUCUGUUCUUAUCUGAACGUUCCUUUAUGACCCCGCUGGCGCAUUUUUUGUUAAGCGCUGGACGGUCCAUGUUAGAUUUUGUUGAAUGUGUAAAGGGAGAGAGAAGGAAAAAUGUAUCCCAAGCUAAGUUUAGCUUUGCUUCAUGUUCAGCAAGUUCAGGAACACGUGAUUCCAUGCAGUACCAUCAAUUCAGAUCAACUUGUGAGGAAUUUGGCAAGCACAUGUUAUCGUUAUCAUUGCAGUGCUGGUCAUUUCUUGUGCAAAGCUCACCCUGCCUGGAAAAGAUAAAAAACCCUAUAGACUUCAGUUGGCUUGGGACAGCAAUAUUUCAGUCUCUCCAUCUUUCUGAGGUAGAUUCUGCCAACCUUUCUUGUACAGAUGGUCUAGAAAUUUUCACUGAAGAGCAGAAGGGGUGUAUUCUCAGCUUAGCUAUUUGCUGCAUCACCUUUUGCAAAUAUCUUGCAAAUAUAUGCUAUGGUCCACAACAUUAUUUGGCAAAUCAUGCUAAAGAUCUGCUUGAAGGGAUUCCUAAGCACACUGGAGAAAUGUGUAAGCACAUGAAUGACUGA
rnacentral:rRNA from 1 species